UAUCAACAUAUCUCUUAUAGUUUCAGCUAUAAUGCGAUUGACAGGUUGGCGAUAUGCGGCAUUUAUAGGAUCUUUCGUAUCAGCAAUUAGUAACAAAUGCGAGAACAAGCAGAAGCUCAGAUGGCAAAACGAAAAUAGUGGUAGUUUUAUCAUGAAACAUUUGCUGCAAGAAGUUUCAUACUUA